AUUCACUCAGCAGCCCAAGCCCGGCCAGGCAGCGCGCGCUGCUCCUUGGGGGCGCCCUCGCAGCUGGGGUGAGGGCGGGUCCGAGGGAGCGUCCCUCUCGGAGACACCCUCCUCUUCAACCCAACACGCGCUCUCAGCUGGCCGGUGUGGCACAACCCUCCCCCCACCUCCCCUUCUUGGCCUUCGCCAGUGUGGGAGCCUCGUCUCACUGGAGAGUCCGUUCAGCUUGCAUUGCAUAAACGUUGUCGCCAUUAAAUUCUGGCUGCGGACCCGAAGUGUGUGCGGGCCCAGGACUUACUCGAAGGGCGCACUUCUUGGGAAUGCGCAUCCCGUAGGCGCAGGAGACCCUGAGGAAUCCUUGUGGGGGCGGGGAGGGGAAGAGCACCGGUGCGAACCCCGGGGUGCCCCCUCGCCCGACUUGGACUUCUCCGACUAAAGAGGUGGGAGGAGUUCCCUGCAGCCUGCGGGGCCAAGAAGAAAGUGCUAAGCUGAGGAGCCGCAGUCGGAGGACCCCAGGGACCCGACAGGAAGUCUCCGUACGACCCCAACGGAUCCACAUGCCCGGAAGCCCAGGCGACACUAAGCCAGCGCUGGGGAACUGACGUACUCCUGCAGUCGCAGGGCGCUCCAUGCCUCUCUGUCCUCUUCUUUGUUGUGGGUAACGUUCUCUGCGGGAGACCUGAGGUUUUCCAAGGGGGACAUGCCAGCUACACUGGCCUUGGCGCCCUGAGCUAAGCACCAGGACUCACAGCCUAGCACGAAGGCAGGUAGCACCUUCACCCGCCGCGGACGAUAGGCGCUCUCCUGUACCUCCUUUAGCUCGCGAGGCCCGCCCUUCGCGAGGUCCCAGAGAAAAGCAGGCUGUGGAAAACUGGGCGCCCCCUUCUUUCACCCACCUUCUUACCCCUGUCAGCGCCGAGAUCUGUAGCAGAGGUUCCUGGUCUGAACCACCGAUUGGCAAAGAAAGCUGCAGAUUAAACUUCUCGUUUUACAGAGAAGGAAACUGAGGCCCAGACAGCCGAAGGAGAGGCAGUCUAUGGAGCGCAGCGGUAAAGAGCAAGGGGUUGGUGGCCCCAGAAUGGAACCUCAGCUCUGCCAGGUAACCAACAGCUGUGUGACCCUAGACGAGUUCCGCAGUCUCUCUGAGCCUCAGUUUCCUUACUGGUCAAACGGGAUAAUGGGAUACUAGCGCCCACCUCAUAGAGUUGUUCUGAGGAUUAGAUAGGAGAGCAGUGUGGGCCUUUGACUCAAUCAACUUUACAGUUUUUGUUACUACUACUGUUUAAGGACAGGAAACAAGUUAGUGGCAACGCCGAGCUGAAACCCGGGUCUCUCAACGUCCAGUUGGAGGUUUUACCCACCACCCCUCUACCUCUUCAGAGCUAAUGGGAUGCAGAGGCGAGGACAGCCCCUGGAAAACCAUGUGGCGUUGAUACACUGGCAAAGCGCAGGCAUCCCGGCCUCGAAGGUGCAUAAUUAUUGCAAUAUGAAAAAAUCGAGGCUGGGUAGGAGCAGGGCAGUGAGGAUUUCUCAACCCUUACUUUCACCCCGGCGCUGUCCACUGCAUCUGACAGAGCGCGGAGCUGGGCUGCUACAGCCGCAACCCCAGGGACCAGUGCGCACGCCUGGGCCGCCCUCCGGGAGUCACCCAGCGGCCGCGGACAACUGAAUAAACACCCCAAAGCGCUGCGGUCGGUCAAGGGCGGGGACAGCCACACUGCGCGCGGGGCCCGCAGGCCGUAAUAAAGAGUGGCUCGACCUCGCUGCUGCCUGUCGCGGGAGAGGAACAAGCUUUCGACUAGCGCCUCUCCCCGGGGCCCGCGCCCCGAGCCCCACGCGCAAGACAGCCCAACAGCUGUUCCUCCCCUCCCCGCCGACUCCAACUCUUCGGAAUCUGCCCACUCGGGGCUGCAGGGCAAGUGUUUAGGAUGGUUCCCAGCCCCGCGCUGGCGGUGAAAAUUUCAACGUCAUUCCUUCAAUUAAAAAAAGGGGGGGGCAAGGGAGGGGCUUUGUGAUAACUACUCCCAGCUUCUUCUGAUCAUUUCAAAAUUAAGUCGAUUUUUUUUAACCAGUCCCCACUUACUGUCCUAACUCUCCUCGCUGACCCUAUCUGGGAGCCCGGAACCGUUAGGUACUGCCGAAUGCGGUGCAAAAUUUCCCCCUCUCCCCCAGUUCGCAGUGCCUGGAGCCGCUGGGGUUACUCGUCUGUUCUGAUGCCACCGCGAGAUGGUCCCCGAGCUCCCCGAGAGUCCUCAGUGAAAGGAUUCCGCGGCACUGCCUCUAUUAUUAUACCGUAAAUCUUUUUAAAUUCUGGAACUAAUUAUAUAGAGGAUAUGUCUCAAUUUGUUCUGCAUUAAUGCCACAGUGGGGAUGGAGGCCAGGCCGUGGCCAGAGCAGAUACGUAGGCCCAUGAAAUUGAUGAACUGAGAGUUGCUUCCAGUCCUGAGCGCACCAUCUGGAAUUCCAGUCUGAGGUUACAAUUAGAACUCCUGACCCCAGAUUCAACUUUGCAAACAACAGGGGAAAAAAAUGGGGAAAAGAAAAACCACGAGAGAGGGAAAAAAAAUUAUUCUGCACCUGUAAAAAAAAAAAAAAAAAAAAAAAAAAAAAAAAAGUCACACAAUCUUAAAAUCUUUCCGUCUUAGACAAUUCUUUCCAAGUAUUUCUUUUGUGUUUUUUAACCUAUAAAAGAUAAUGGAAUGUUUUAUAGACUGGAUUUUAUCUCAUCCCCUUUCCCUCUCCCAACUGCCCUCAGUUUAAUAGUUGUCAGUUUUACCUCAGUGUUGAAUUUAAUUAUAUAGGAACAAAAUAUUCCUCAGUAAAUUUGCUUGCUAAAUAUUCUGUCACAUUUACUUCCCCUUUGAGAAAUGGCUUAAUUAUAGAAAUCUACCUGCAUCUAGGAAUUUUUUUUCCCUUUUCUUUUUUGACCGCCAUUCCAGCUUAAUCGUAAGCAGAGAUUUUAUUUGUGCAGUAAUUUUAUUUGUGUUCUAAAUUCGUUUAGCCAAUUUCUUCCUUCUUUCUUUAGUAACACCCUGCUUUAUUUUCCUCUCACUUUGACCCCCUGAAGAAAACGAAGGACCAAGCAGUACUGGAGAAUCUGUUAAAUUUAUUAGCAUAAAUGCUUAGACAAAACGAGAUAUAAAUCAUUCAGAUGUAUUAAGCCAUAAAGUAUCCCAAUGAAGUCAGUCCCUUGCCAGGGUCCUGGUGUAUAAAUGUUCAUAUAAAACAAGGUAUCAGUAUUAUCUUUCAAACUGAAUAUAUGUUGUAAAAAUAUCCAAGGUUGAGUUAGGAAUAUGGGGGGAGGGUGCAGCAGGGCAGGAAGGGGAUAUUCUUUAGACCAGUUUGUUAACAUAGUGGUGGCUCAGAAAGUAUGGUGGAAAGGAAAAAUUUCAACCGUUUACAUUUGGAGUCUUCUUAGAUAAUAUGUUUUUAAAUAACGGUAUGCAGGAUAUAUUUGAGAGCAAAGGAAUAAGAGAAAAAAAAGAUGACUAGAGGGAGAAAGGCAUUGAUUUCUGUAGAAUGCAUUUGUCCCCCAAAGAUCAGUUUAGCUUCACAAAAAUCCACCCAGAGGAGGCACUGGCUCUUCACACAGAUAACGGAUUAUCCAGUAGAGAAGAGCUACCUGGGCCUUCGUCUGGCAACUGGGAUAUGCAGCCGCUGGUCAGCAGAGGGAUGUGUAUUCAUUAGCGGUGGAAGACGAGGAAAGCGCCCGGGAGUGAGGAAGAGGAAUGGACAGAAUUCCUGGCAGAAGCUUACCAAGACAAAAAUCAGACACAAUGUUUAAGCAGCAAUUGCUCGUGAAGUUCAUAACCAUGGCUCUCUGUAAAUCUUGGCAAAUUGGGACAUUCUUUGCUUUUUGGAAAUGAUUGUUUUCAAGACUUUUUUUAAAAAAUCAAGUUGUCCACCAGAAAAAUGGAAUAGCUCACCUUCCCCAUCUUUUUUUUAAAGCAGGGAUAUCCUCAUCCUUUCCGUGCCAUUCAUUCUUUCAUUCAUUCACUCACCGUGCAACAAAGAUUGUUGGGCAUUGUAGCAGCAAGUAGGAGCACAGGGUAAUGACAGGCUCACCCCGCUCUCACAGUUUAUAUUCCAGUAGGUAUGACAGAUACAUUACAAGGAAACAAUGAGAUAUUUUCAUAUAGUAGUAAUUGCUAUAAAAGAACAAGGAGAUCUGUAAGACUAGAGAAUGACUAAAGGUGAGAUGGGAAUGAGGAGCAACAGAUAGCCCUCACUUCCUUUUGCUUUCUGCCCACACUACCACAUUUUAGUGUGUUUAGGAAGUAUUCCACCUUACAGUCCAGAUGCAGGAAGGGUUUGAAGGAUUUGGAAUGGUUGGUCUGGAUAAAUCUCUGCCUACAAAACUGGACUUUAUGAAAGCGGCAGGGCAGCUGUUUAUAUAGCUGGCUUAAAAUCAUCACCACUAGCUGAGUGACUCUGAAAGCUAUUUAACCCCUGAGAAAUUCAGUUUUCUUCUCUUCAAGAUAAAAAAUAACAGCAAGUUAUGAGGACUACAUAAGGUAAGGCAUGUAAAUUUCUUAGCCUUUAGGAAGCACUCAAUACAUGUUGGCUAUUAUCUAUAUAGACAUAAAUUCUAUGCUUUGCUUCCAAUUAAUUGAUAAGUUAUAGGCUUAGUAUUGAUAUUGGUGUGAAUUCAGAAAAGGUGGAAGUCUUUGUUCUUGUUGGAUCAGGGUGAAGAGCAGGAAGAGAAACCUUUGCUGAAUCUGACCUUAAACAAGGUUGUUGCCAUCUAGAAGGAAAUUUAAAUGAUUUUGCCCUACACCAGGACCCUAAAACAGGAAAUAUGUGGCUUUUGCCUCAAAAUCAAGCUUAGGUUCCUUCUUUUAGUACAGAAGUCUAUAGGUUAACAACCUGAAAAUCUUAGAAUUGCAUUGAAAAUCUUAGAAUUGCAUUGUUCCUUAGAGCCACAUUUCAGGUUUGCAGCCUUGUCCAGGAUAAAGAAUUCUGGGGUAGGUAUAAAAACACCUGAACUCAAAUCCUAUCUCUAUCAGUUACUGUGAUCUUAGGGAAAUAGCUUCAGCUCUCAGUUUUUCAGUAGCUUUAUGUGUAAAAUGGAGAUUAUAUAAAAUGAAAUAAAGCAUCCAUAGGUGAUUUGAAAACUCUGAAGUGUCAGACAGUGCAGAAGACCAUCAUAACAUUGUUACAUGUGAACAUGUGGAAAGGAAUAUGUCUAUUCAGAACACUGGGGCACAUUGCUUGCUCUCAUGGUUCUUCAUUUUUAAGUGAGUAUAGUACCUUUCAUGCAGGGCUAUUGUGAUAAGUAAGUGAGAUCAUAUAUAUAAACUUUCAAAACAAUGCAUAGCAUAGAAUGUGUGCUAUGUAAGCAUCACUGCUACGGUUAUUGUUACUGUUCUCUGGCCAUCUUGUUGGGCCAAGUGUUGAACCUUAUAAUUUUCACAUAGAGAGCUUCUUACUGUAGAAGUUUAUAAUAGUAUAGAGAGCAAGGCUUUGGGAUCAGAUGACUGGGGUUUAAAGCCUCCUCGCUAGUUAUUUUCUGUAUGGCUUUGGGUGGCUUCCUUAUUUUCUCUGAGCUUUAAUUUUCAUAACCUUAAAACAGGGCUAAUGAUACCAUCACCUCACAGGGUUGUUUUGAGAACAAAUUAAAACACCAUAUGUAAAUUGCUUUCGUGGCACCUGGCAUGUAGUAAGAAAUCAAUAACUGGUAGUUAUUAAACCUACAAUUCUUCUAAUCAGACAAUAUUAGCUAUGACUUAAAACAGGUGAGCCUGCAAGAGCUUGAAUUACAGCAUGAUUCUGAACAAACACAGAAAGUAAUUUCUAUCUUCUUUUAAACUCACCUGUACUACACUGAAAUCUCACUCUUUCACAUAUGAAAGACUUUGCAACCAAGGCACUGACAAGGAUUUCCUUUUUGACUAUGAACGCUUUAGGUUAAAAUUCUGAAUCUCAUUUAUUUUUAAUGGGUUUCUUUGCAAAAUACCCAGCGUAUGUCAAGGACAUUGGUAAUCCCAUGUUCUUCAAAAUAAGCAGGAAAUUGAUUUCAGCCAAUGGGGAGAAAAAGUAGUUUGAUCCUCUUCCUGGAGUUACCACAUAGCAUUUAUUAAUAGCUCUGUAAACGGUCUGGAACACAGUAUCAGCUUGCUGUUCAAAAUAUGACAAAAGUUUAUGCAAAGUUGCUUAGGAAAAACAAGAUCUAGUCAUUAGAAAUCUGACACUGGUCAAUAGUACAUUUAUUCCAAGUCUCCAUAAAUCACAAACAAAUGAAACUUCUAUUGUGAUCACUGUUCCAGAUCUAAAAGACCCUCCCCCUUACUUUGGUAGAAAUUAAAUACAUUUUAGAAAGCCCAAUAUUUUUUCCUCUACAAAUAGAGGCUAAUUACAAAAUUUCCCAAGAAAUAAUAAAUAUUAAACUAUAAUCAACAGAUGUGACACAAGAUGAAUAAGAAGCACAUAACUUAGCUUUCAUUCCUUAUGUAGGGCGCAUGUUUAUCUUUAAUUAUCCCCAACCUGGGAAUGGCAUAAAUGUUAUCUGUUUUAUUUAUUAUUUGUAUCUAGAGUGACAUCACAUUUUGAUUUUGCCCAGGACAGUCUCAGCUUAAGCUGUUGUCCCAGCUUAAUUAUUAAUUACUCUCCUUUUACUCCAAAGUAUUCUACUUUUGAUGGUAAAUAAGGACUUCACUUGCUUAAAAUUUUAUUUUAUUAAAAAAAUGAUAGAUUUAAGAAAGCCAUUGGAACAAGGGUAAAAGAUAGGCUAAAUGGGGCUAAUGAGAAGAAAAAAAUUGAAUUAAUAUUAGAAUCAAAGGAUGCAGAUAGUUACUAUAAUUGAGCAUAAUGCAAUUCUGAACUUCCUGACAGCCAAGUAAGAAAGGGGAAAAUAGCACUAGUUACCUAUCUUUCGUGAUGCAAUAAAGGGAAGAAACCUAGUUUUUCAGAAGAGAUGAAUUUUUUCUAGUACUAAACUCAAAGAGGAACUUACCAUACUAGCCUUUCUAUAAGAGUUAUCAGGUAACGGUUAGCGACUUCAAAAAUAAUGUUUCAAAAGAUGCAACGACAUUUUCUGGUAGUUUAUUUCAACCCAAUGUCCACAGCAUUAAAAUUAUGGUUCUGUAAACUGUAAGAGGAGAGAGGCAAUAAUAUAGUCCCUUUUUGUAGUUUUCUGGAGGAUCUGACCUGAUCAAAUCAACCUGAUUUGUUAAUUUUUAGAAUGUGCCUAAUGGGUUUUUUUUUAUUUUUAUUUUUUAUUUUUUUUGAGGCAGAAUCUUGCUCUGUCACCCAGGUUGGAGUGCAGUGACCCCAUCUCGGCUCACUACAACCUCCGCUACCCGAGUUCAAGCGAUUCUCUUGCCUCAGCCUCCCAAGUAGCGGGGAUUACAGGCACCCACCACCCCGCCUGGCUAGUUUUUGUAUUUUUAAUAGAGACAGGGUUUCACCAUGUUGGUCAGGCUGGUCUUAAACUCCUGACUUCAGGUGAUCCACCCGCCUUGGCCUCCCAAAGUCUGGGAUUACAGCCGUGAGCCACCACGCCCGACCCCGUAAUUUUUUAAAAGCAUCUUUUAUUCGUUAAUCAUCAGUUAACUUGAACCCGAAUCCAAACGCUGCGAAAGACCUGACCAUUGUUCUCCAGAAUCUGCGAACGAUUUGGUGAGAGCUCUAGGGCAGUGGUUGUUCUCAACUGAGAUGAUUUGCAACCCAGCAGACGUCUGGCAAUGUCUAGAGAUAUUUUUUGUCACGACUUACAGUAAGACAGGAUCACUAGAUGCACAGUCCUGGUAUCUAGUGAGUAGAGGCCAGGGAUGCUGUUAAACAUUCUAUAAUGCACAGGACAGACCCCCCAGAACAAAGAAUUAUCCAGCCUAAAAUGUCAAUAGUGCCGAGACUGAGAAACUGUGCCCCAGGGUACUGUUAGAAGAAGGGAUGGAGGGCCAGGCGCGGUGGCUCACGCCUGUAAUCGCAGCACUGUGGGAGGUCAGGCGGGCGGAUCACGAGGUCAGGAGAUCAAGACCAUCCUGAUUAACACGGUGAAACCCCGUCUCUACUAAAAAAUACAAAAAAUUAGCCGGGAGUGGUGGCGGGCGCCUGUAGUCCUAGCUGCUUGGGAGGCUGAGGCAGGAGAAUGGCGUGAACCCAGCAGGCGGAGCUUGCAGUGAGCUGAGAUCGCGCCACUGCACUCCAGCCUGGGCAACAGAGUGAGGAUCUGUCUCUAAAUAAAUAUAUAAAUAAAAGAAGGGAUGGAGACAUAGUUUUUAGCUGGAGUCAAAAGAAAAAAUCCUCAUGGGGAAGGGGAGCUUGGGCUAGAUUCCUUCAUCCCACCCAGUGGAGCUGGAGGAUGUCUCUCCCCAAGCUCAGCAAAUGUCAGGAAAAAAAUACAAGAAGAGGCAAUCAUGUGGAAAUGCAGUCCACAAAGGGAAUUGUGGAUAAACUCAUUUAACCAGAAAGGAGGAAGAAUCCAUGUAGAGCAAUAAGAAAGAAAGCCAGAUAGCACAGCACAUGCAAAUUUAGGGCAAAGAGUUUCUGUUUUGAUGUUAUGCUCCAAUAUCACUAAAUAUUGCUGGUAUUUUUUAAAGCCACACAAAUCAAGGGCAGCAUAAACUUUUAUGUUCCCAGAGUUCAUCUUUGGAAUACUGGCUUAUAGUGUAUAUGUGGAUAUGCACAUAUUUUGCUUCCUCUCCUCCACAUCGUUUUUUACCACUUACAUAAUAGGGAUUCCUUGGAACUCAGUUUUAUAUCACAUUAAAUUUAAAAAUGGGUGCCUACUCAAAAAGACAACCUAUCAAGGCACAGAAAAUUCUGAACCACUGCUGUAAUGAAUACAUCAUUGGAAUCUCCAUUAAGAAAUAUUAUUCUGACCUAGUUCUCUGUGUCAUGCUGCAGAUUGUCCUUCUCUUGACUCAUGGAAUGCUUUGUGAGAAAGAACUACAAAGCCGGGUCCCUCGAUAUUAGCCAUCUCACCCUUCAAAGUUCAGCCAGGAGUGGGACAAAACCCUCGUCACCAUGUUGACAUGUUUACUUCUGGCGCAGGAAAAUACUGCUGUUGCCCAAUUUGGUUUCCCAGUCCAUUCACUUGCCUGGAGACAUAUAUUUUAUGCUUUCCUUUGAUGAUUUACAAAUAAAUUAACGUGAUUCACUAAGGUCUGCCAGCAUAUAUGCGUUACUGGAGAAAUCUGAGAUGUUGAAAAAGUAUUUUAAUUUAUUGUAUCCCAAUACUUUCUUAAGAAAGUUUCUUAAGAACCAAAUAAAUAUCAUCAGCUAGUUUAUAUACCUGACAUAUUUAUUACGGUAUUCCCGCUGAGCACUUCCCAUUGUCAUGUGUUCUCACACAUUGUUUUCACAAAUUGUGUUUUGAAAGAAGUCAAGGGAAAUUCAGGCCAGAGAAGCAAGAUGUUAUCUUUUGGAAAGGAUGAGCCCACUCUAAUGGAAGAGGAUAAUCCAUUCAGAGGUUUGUGAGGCCAAUAUCCCCCAGUGGGUGUGAUAAAUCCACAGCGUCUGAAUCCAGAAUUUUGCACUGGGACCUUGAAGUUGCAUGAACAAUUUAGUCAUGUUCCAAAUAAACACAGUGUAUCAUUAUUAUUAUUGGAUAAACAUGAACAUCUGUUAGGUCAAGUUUGCCCUAUUUCCUUAAAGGCAACUGGAGUCCCUGAACACAGUUCUCAUAUGUCUAUCACAAAUGGAUCUGAGAUGGGUGUAUAAUGCCAAAGCGGCUCCUUGACCAUCUCUGUGUUUGGAAACCAGAUUUUAAAAAGAAAAAAAAAAGUCACCUGCUCAUCUGAGGUGGGUCACAUGCCUAGAGAGCACCAUAGAGACUGCAGUUCCCUUCUGAAUCCCAUCAACAGAGCUACUGUCAAAAGAUGAAAAUAUUUGAAUCAGCUGGCCUUCUUCAUUUUUAAAGCAAUGUUGUACAUAUUUUAAGCAAUUAUUUGGGGCGAGAGGACUCUAAUUGACACCAUUCUCUUGUCCUAACUCAGCCUGGCACCUUUCCAGCUGUCACUCAGUGGGCACAGGAUAUGGAGGAUGAUUUCUCACCAGGCUGAAUCAGCAGGUUGCAGCAGGUUACAACUGCAAGGGACUUUACAAAGCUUCUAAUCCUACCCCUCAUUUUUCAGAUAAGACAUUAUUGAUACGAUCUGCCCAAGAUCAUGCACUUAGUUAGUGGCAGAGCUUUACCCAAGGCCAGGAAAUAAAAUCUGUCUUUCUGGAACAGCAUUCAUUGGUUUGCACUUACCGAGUACCUUUUACAG
rnacentral:lncRNA from 1 species